rnacentral:rRNA from 1 species
CCAAGGAGUUUAACAUGUGCGCGAGUCACGGGGUUUUUACGAAGCCCAAAGGCAUAAUGAAAGUGAAUGAAGGCAGGACCCGUUCUGUUGUGGAGCGGAGCACUACCGGCCCAUCCGAGACUCAUUGCAGUCUGGGUGGAGCAAGAGCGUACACGUUGGGACCCGAAAGAUGGUGAACUAUGCUCGAGUAGGAUGAAGUCAGAGGAAACUCUGAUGGAGGUCCGUAGCGAUUCUGACGUGCAAAUCGAUCGUCAAACUUGGGUAUAGGGGCGAAAGACUAAUCGAACCAUCUAGUAG